rnacentral:rRNA from 1 species
UCAAGCGAACAAGAGCGCAAGGGGAAUGCCUUGGCAUCAGGAGCCGAUGAAGGACGUGAUAAGCUGCGAAAAGCUUCGGGGAGCUGCAAAUAAGCAUUGAUCCGGAGAUGUCCGAAUGGGGAAACCCACCUGAGCAAACCUCAGGUAACGCAUGGUGAAUCAAAUAGCCAUGCGUGGGGAACCGCCUGAACUGAAACAUCUAAGUAGGGCGAGGAAAAGUAAUCAACCGAGAUUCCGAAAGUAGUGGCGAGCGAAAUCGGAAGAGGCCAAACCGUACGUAGCAAUAUGUGCGGGGUUGUGGACGGCAAUGUCGGUAAGCUUCGUUAGACGAAUGGUCUGGGAAGGCCAGUCAAAGAGUGUGAGAGCCACGUAGUCGAAAAUGAAGUGAACGUAGCCGGAUCCAGAGUACCGCGGGGCACGAGGAAUCCCGUGGGAAGCCGGGGGGACCACCCUCCAAGCCUAAAUACUACCUGAUGACCGAUAGAGGAGCAGUACCGUGAGGGAAAGGUGAAAAGCACCCCGGGAGGGGAGUGAAACAGUACCUGAAACCUUGUGCUUACAAGCAGACAUAGCCCGUUAAAGGGUGGUGUCGUACUUUUUGUAGAACGGUCCGGCGAGUUAUAGUAACUGGCGAGCUUAAGGUAUUCAGUACCGGAGGCGAAGGGAAACCGAGUGUGAAGAGCGCGUGAAGUCAGUUGCCAUAGACCCGAAACCAGGUGACCUAGCCAUGUCCAGGAUGAAGUGGAGGUAAAGCUCCAUGGAGGUCCGAACCCACGUACGUUGCAAUGUCCGGGGAUGAGGUGUGGCUAGCGGUGAAAUUCCAAACGAACUUGGAGAUAGCUGGUUCUCCCCGAAAUAGCUUUAGGGCUAGCGUAGGUAAUGAGUUUCACGGAGGUAAAGCACUGUCUGAGCUAGGGGGCGAUAAGCUUACUGAACUCUAACAAACUAAGAAUGCCGUAGAAAUGCUUACCUGCAGUCAGACUGCGAGUAAUAAAAUCCGUGGUCAAAAGGGAAACAGCCCAGACCCACAGCUAAGGUCCCAAAUAUACGCUAAGUGGAAAACGAUGUGAGAUUGCAUAAACAACCAGGAUGUUGGCUUAGAGGCAGCCACUCGUUCAAAGAGUGCGUAAUAGCUCACUGGUCGAGUGAUCUUGCGCGGAAAAUUUAACGGGGCUAAGCGUAUAACCGAAGCUUGGGAAUGUCGAAAGACAUUGGUAGGGGAGCGUCGUGUAUGGGGUGAAGUCGCAUCGGAAGGAGCGGUGGACUGUACACGAGUGAGAAUGCCGGAAUGAGUAGCGAGAAUUAUGUGGGAAUCAUAAUGGCCGAAAAUCUAAGGUUUCCUGGGGAAGGUUCGUCCGCCCAGGGUAAGCCGGGAGCUAAGGCGAGGCCGCGAGGCGUAGUCGAUGCACAUACGGUAGAAAUUCCGUAGCCACCUCACACUAGAAAGCUGACACAUGGAGAUAGUCGAACCCGGCCGUUGGUCGCGCCGGGCGAAAGGGACCGAACUUAUAGUAGGGAAGUCGAUGAUGCUCUGUGGCGAGAAAAGGCGAAGUGAGGUGCCCGUACCGCAAACCGACACAGGUAGAUGAGGAGAGAAUCCUAAGGCCAACGGGAGAAGGGUUGUUAAGGAACUCGGCAAGUUGACCCCGUAACUUCGGAAUAAGGGGAGCCUCGAAAGAGGCCGCAGUGAAAAGGCCCAAGCAACUGUUUACCAAAAACACAGGUCUAUGCUAAAUCGAAAGAUGACGUAUAUGGGCUGACGCCUGCCCGGUGCCGGAAGGUUAAGAGGAGAUGUCAGCGCAAGCGAAGCAUUGAAUUGAAGCCCCGGUAAACGGCGGCCGUAACUAUAACGGUCCUAAGGUAGCGAAAUUCCUUGUCAGGUAAGUUCUGACCCGCACGAAAGGCGUAAUGAUUUGGGCACUGUCUCAACAGCCCGCCCGGCGAAAUUGUAGUACCGGUGAAGAUGCCGGUUACC